GACGAACGCUGGCGGCGUGCUUAACACAUGCAAGUCGAACGGAAAGGCCCCUUUGGGGGUACUCGAGUGGCGAACGGGUGAGUAACACGUGAGUAACCUGCCCUUGACUUCGGGAUAACUUCAGGAAACUGGGGCUAAUACCGGAUAGGAAUCCUUGCUGCAUGGUGGGGGUUGGAAAGCUUCGGCGGUUUUGGAUGGACUCGCGGCUUAUCAGCUUGUUGGUGGGGUAGUGGCUUACCAAGGCUUUGACGGGUAGCCGGCCUGAGGGGGCGACCGGCCACAUUGGGACUGAGAUGCGGCCCAGACUCCGACGGGAGGGAGCAGUGGGGAAUCUUGCACAAUGGGCGGAAGCCUGGUGCAGCAACGCCGCGGGCGGGAUGACGGCCUUCGGGUUGUAAACCGAUUUCAGCAGGGGCGAAGCUUGUGGUGACGGUACCUGCAGAAGAAGCACCGGCUAACUACGUG
rnacentral:rRNA from 1 species